rnacentral:rRNA from 1 species
CUAUGUGUUGUUGGGUAGGGGAGCGUUCUGUAAGCCUGUGAAGGUGUGCUGUGAGGCAUGCUGGAGGUAUCAGAAGUGCGAAUGCUGACAUAAGUAACGAUAAAGCGGGUGAAAAGCCCGCUCGCCGGAAGACCAAGGGUUCCUGUCCAACGUUAAUCGGGGCAGGGUGAGUCGACCCCUAAGGCGAGGCCGAAAGGCGUAGUCGAUGGGAAACAGGUUAAUAUUCCUGUACUUGGUGUUACUGCGAAGGGGGGACGGAGAAGGCUAUGUUGGCCGGGCGACGGUUGUCCCGGUUUAAGCGUGUAGGCUGGUUUUCCAGGCAAAUCCGGAAAAUCAAGGCUGAGGCGUGAUGACGAGGCACUACGGUGCUGAAGCAACAAAUGCCCUGCUUCCAGGAAAAGCCUCUAAGCAUCAGGUAACAUCAAAUCGUACCCCAAACCGACACAGGUGGUCAGGUAGAGAAUACCAAGGCGCUUGAGAGAACUCGGGUGAAGGAACUAGGCAAAAUGGUGCCGUAACUUCGGGAGAA